UAACACCGGCGUCACGGGUAGUAAUCAUGAUUAUUGGGCCUAAAGCGUCCGUAGCCGGUUUAAUAAAUUUCUUGUGAAAUUGUUUAGCUUAACUAAACAGCGUGCAAGAAAGACUGUUAAACUUGAAACCGGGAGGAGCUAGAGGUAUUUCAGGGGGAGCGGUAAAAUGCUAUAAUCCCUGAAGGACCACCUAUGGCGAAGGCUUCUAGCUAGAACGGAUUUGACGGUGAGGGACGAAAGCCAGGGGAGCGAUCCGGAUUAGAUACCCGAGUAGUCCUGGCUGUAAACGCUGCGAGCUAGGUGGUGCAUGUUCUUAGUGGACAUGCGGCGCCUGAGUGAAGACGUUAAGCUCGCCGCCUGGGAAGUAUGGCCGCAAGACUG
rnacentral:rRNA from 1 species